rnacentral:rRNA from 1 species
GAUGAACGCUGGCGGCGUGCCUAAUACAUGCAAGUCGAGCGAACGGACGAGAAGCUUGCUUCUCUGAUGUUAGCGGCGGACGGGUGAGUACCACGUGGAUAACCUACCUAUAAGACUGGGAUAACUUCGGGAAACCGGAGCUAAUACCGGAUAAUAUUUUGAACCGCAUGGUUCAAAAGUGAAAGACGGUCUUGCUGUCACUUAUAGAUGGAUCCGCGCUGCAUUAGCUAGUUGGUAAGGUAACGGCUUACCAAGGCAACGAUGCAUAGCCGACCUGAGAGGGUGAUCGGCCACACUGGAACUGAGACACGGUCCAGACUCCUACGGGAGGCAGCAGUAGGGAAUCUUCCGCAAUGGGCGAAAGCCUGACGGAGCAGCGCCGCGUGAGUGAUGAAGGUCUUCGGAUCGUAAAACUCUGUUAUUAGGGAAGAACAUAUGUGUAAGUAACUGUGCACAUCUUGACGGUACCUAAUCAGAAAGCCACGGCUAACUACGUG